GUUGAGUCCCCAAAAGCUGGAACACCAGGCAACUAGGAUCUGAAAAUCGGUACUGUCUGGCAGAAAUCUUUUGGGAAGUCUGCAACAUUGGGAGGUAUGGAAUCGGGACAGGCGGAUAAGCCCUCAGGAGGGCAUCACUAGUAGCACACAACAUACCUCAAGGAUAACACCCAUAAUGGGUAGACCUGCGUGUAAAGUGGGCAUGCCAACCUGCUAUCAAACAUGCCAUACAGCCUCCUGGUCAGCACUCAACAUACAGGACAGUGCAGAGAGCGCUGCUGUAGCACUUUCUGGAUGGUCUUAGUGCCCACUGCACUAGGACCUAAUGAUGUACUUGCUCUGUGUUCCUAGCAGACACUUCCCUGGUGUCUCCAGAUGCAGGACACCAGGGAACAAAAUCAGGAUAGUGCAACAGGACCAUUAAUAGGGGCUGUCCAUUCAAUAGCGGGACAAUCGGUAGGCCUAGAUUAAGGUAACCAGAUCAACAUAUCAUGUAGUUUAUUCAUUAAUCAAUUCUGAUUUUGUGGAUUAAAACUUGUCAGUUUCUUUAUUUACAGACCCAGGUAUAUGUUGAACUAACAUAUUUAUCUGGUUUCUUAGAAUAACAAAUAUUUAUAUGUUUGUUGGUAAAUGUUGGAUUGACUUUAACUCGUUGCACAAAUAUUACUUGCAUUGCUAAAUAUUGAGAAAUAAGUAAUAGAGCAAAUAAAAAAGUUAAAGGGAUACUAUAGUCAUCAAGACAACUUUAGCUUAAUGAAGCCGUUUUUGUGUAUAGAUCAAGCCUCUGAAGUUUCACUGCUCAAUUCUUUGCCAUUUAGAAGUAAAAUUACUUUUGUUUCUGUUUAUGUAGCCCUAGCCACAGAGAUAAGACAUUCUAAAUUAAACAGAAUUUCCAAUAAACGAAGUGUAAACAUUAGAUGACUCCUCACAGGAAGUGUUUAAGGAGGCUGUGCAAGUCACAUGCAGGGAGGUAUGUCUAGGGCUGCAUAAAUAAAGGGAUUUAACUCCUAUAUAGCAGAGAAUUGAGCAGCAAGACUGCAGGGGAAUGAUCUGUACACCAAAACUGCUUCAUUAAGCUAAAGCUGUUUUGGCGACUAUACUGUUUCUAAAAUGUAAUAACGGAUCCUGCCCACCUGUGCACAUACAAUUAUAAGUAAAUCAGCCCCAUUGGUUUUACUUUGAGAGAAGUACACAUGGGAGUAGGGAUGCUGCUCCAUUAUGUUUUAUACAGAGUUAUUCACUAAACUUCAGUUGUUAGCUAAUUAUAUCUUCAUGGUAACAGGCAGCAUAUAAAAGUGUUACCUGGUAUUAUGUGGAACAGAGGUGGGAAAUUAAUUUGCUAAACAAAACAGUUUUUUUUUCCCGAUGAUUAUCUUAUGUGUUGUUGGCAGCAUUGAACUCUGCAUAUUCAAGGCAGCAUUGUUCAUGUACUGAGCAACAUCAUGCAGUCAUUUGUACACAGGAAAUUACUGCAGAUCUGAAAGAGAUUGUUUUUUAAGAUUGUCUAUUACAUUGACCUCUCACUAUUGUCCUUGUAGUGAAUAAAUGAUUUUCUUUUCAUUCCUAAAACUGGAAGUUGCAUUUUGUCACUCUCUUUUCCCUAUUAAUCAACUCAUAACAAAUGUGUAUACAGUGUGAGUUAUCAGGAAUUCUAAGUAAAUUCAAAGUAAAAUGUUUUCUUUUGAUAUAUUUUGGCCUAAAUGUUAAAUUUGCUUUAAAUUGCAAACAAUUAAUGUGUUAGUAAAAACUCCUGUGAUUCCUACACUGCGCAAGUCAAAAUAAAGUGCAAGCUGUGCCUUUGUGAGUCAAGGCAGCCAAGAGAACACUUAUUUGGCUAAAUAAUUAAGUUUAACUACCAGGCCUCCCUCUAGAUAUUUCUUUGCAUUUUAAUUUGCAAAACAUGGGUGUAAUGAUAUUAAAAAUGCAAUAACAUUGAGCUGAAUCAAUUUGCCAGCAAUGAAAACCUUGGGAAAUAAACCUCACUAAAUUGAUCAAAGUGAUGCGCUGGCAGCUUCUAAAUGAAGUGCUACCCUUCCAAAUUAUGCAAGCAACAGCCUUCACAUUUAUAUGUAAAGAAAAUUUUGAAUUUGCUAUAUCCUUAUAUCCUUUGCUAUAUCCUUAUAUCAAAGCUAUGUCAUUCUCCUUCUCAGUGAGAACACAGUUUAAAUGUCAAUUCUGUUUCCCUUGGCACUGAAUGGCAAGAUAUGGUAUUUUAUUGACUGUGAGUGCCAGUGAGGGGGUGGAGGAGAUAAAAACUCUAAAUGAGUUUAUACUAGUCAUGCUGCAAAUAAUAUAGAGUAUGUGAUUGUGUGUUUACAUUGUAUGUUGUUGUCAUAUUUUCUUGGGCACACAUAACUCCAACAAUUGGUGGGCAAAACAAGAAUAAUGCUGCCCUGCAGUAUGUAGAAUUUAUAUAACGCAGGAAGUCGUAGAAUACAUUACUCACACAAGGAGGGAUCCCUGAUAACUAUCUGGAUUAAUUGCUUUUCCCCAUACAAUAAAUGAAUGAUACAAGGAUACAAGGAUACAAGGACAGGGCUGCCCAUUAAAAUGUAGACAUGAUCUGCGUUCGUCAAGGCAUAAUGGGACUAGCAAUCUUAAAUGAAACCUAUAUUAUUUAUUUCAAUAUAUAUAUUUAAUAACAUAUUGACAAUAUUAAGAAUAAACCCACAAUAUCACAUUUAGAGUUUGAUAUGAUAGUAAGCUUUUAGUUGACAGUGGGGUGUCAUGUAAGUUGUUAUUAAAAACUGGCAAUCAAAAGGUUAAAUCAUAAAGAACUAACAUUUCUUACGCUAUGUUUACAAAAUAAUAAUAAUAAAAUAGAAUAAUAAAUUGUUUAUGACAUUUUUUGAAUCACAAGUCAGACUGACUGUGUUUUCCAUGGACUUCUGGCUUCUCUUAUUGACCUGUCAUAAGGCAGACCAGCAAAGAAUGAAUUUCUCAGUUGACAAUUAAUAAAAAGUACAAUUAUUGCCACAGUCAGAAAAAGAAGAAGAAACAGAACAACAUAAGUCAGUAGGUCUGGUUUAUUCAUGCCCCCUUCCUUCAUCGCCUUUGCUGUAGACAUAUAGAGUACAGAGGCACUCACAGGUCUUUGAGUGCUGCUAAGGUAAUGAGUGUUAGUCUGAAUCAUCACUUGAGCUUCAGUGGCAUUGCUGGAGUUUAAAAGCAAUUCUCCAUACAUUAUCAUGUUUUUUUGCUUCACCAUGUAUCCCAAAAUCCACUUCUCUUUUAAAAAGUGAACAUUCUCUUAUGGAAAACAGGAUUAAAACCCAUCCUAGUUUUAAAUAUAGUAGUAGAUCAUGGCAAUAGGAUAAAAACAAGAGUUUUCCUAUUUUUAUUCUUUCAGAUGAAUUUAUUUGUAGAAUUUUCCCUCCGAGUAUGGACUAGUUGGACUCCCAAAACACGUUGGUAUUGCUAAUGGCGCAACCAUCUUUACUUAACGAGAUCAUAUCUGUAUCACUUCCACUGCUCCAGAUGGGGAGGAUUUAUCUCCAGAAAAUCUCUGUCAAAUGUUGAAUAGAACAGAUUAAAGAACUAUCUAUUCAUCAAAGGAUAAACAAUGGAAAACCCCAUGAAGAGUAAUUCCACAUUCUGUCACGCACCAUGCAAGUGACACUAAAGAACUGUGUGUUUAACACACUGUAUUUUCGGUUCAAUUGUAGAUAAUUCGAGGAGUGUCAAUAUCCAGAUAGAUCCAUGUAAAUUAACUCCUUAAAUGAUGUAGUUUUCUUGAAUAAUGUUCAGCAUCAGUCUGAUUUGACGGCAGUUUUGUAGCAGUGCCUGUUAAAUUGUUUGUUUAAAUCCAUGUGUUUUGUUUUUUUGCUGUUAACCAAACAGGUGAUUUUCUUCACGCUGCAAAGUUCCUCUGCUCACUGUAUCCCAGCGUCUCUCAGUACGAUUCUCCAGAAUGCAGCCAGGCAAAGAGGCUGGAGACACACAGGGCUGGGCUGAUACUGUACACAAAACAUGUGACUGAUUCCUUCAGCUAAACUCCAGCUGAGCGUCAUUAACUGUUG
rnacentral:lncRNA from 1 species